rnacentral:pre_miRNA from 1 species
UUUCUCUGGAAGAACGUAUUUGGUGAAUGUUGGUUUAAAUACGUUCUUCCAGAGAAACUAACAUUCACCAAAUACGUUCUUCCAGAGAAACCA